rnacentral:rRNA from 1 species
AGGUAGGGAUACCCGCUGAACUUAAGCAUAU